CCAUUUUCAGUAGAAGCUCCUAAUAGAAGUUUAAUUUUUCACUUCUGUGGGCAGGAUAGAAGUGGAAGAUAUUGGCAUAGUUUGUUGUUCCUGCUUUUGAGCCCUUUCAGGUAAAUGAUAGUGUUGAAGGUUCAGUGUCUGUAACAAAGCAGAGAUCAGGAUCCAUUGGGGAUCGCCCAGCAAGACCUACUCUUUUAGAACAAGUACUGAAUAAAAAGAGGCUGUCCCUACUCAGAAGCCCAGAAGUAGUGCAGUUUCUACAGAAACAACAGCGACUGUUAAGUCAACAAGCUUUGGAACAAAGGCAGCAACAGUUUCAAGGAGCACCUGGGUAAUGAGGAAAGAUCAGUGAUCUGCAGAUGAGUCUAGUGCUGAAGGAGGGACAGGAUCUGUAUUUUCUAUAAAUACAAAGAAUCUCAAUAUUUAAACAUGAAUGGAAGUUGCUGUUGUCAUGUA